rnacentral:rRNA from 1 species
UACGUAGGUGGCAAGCGUUGUCCGGAAUUACUGGGCGUAAAGCGUGCGCAGGCGGUUUUGUAAGACAGAUGUGAAAUGCCCGGGCUUAACCUGGGAACUGCAUUUGUGACUGCAAGGCUAGAAUCUGGCAGAGGGGGGUAGAAUUCCACGGUGUAGCAGUGAAAUGCGUAGAUAUGUGGAGGAAUACCGAUGGCGAAGGCAGGCCCCCUGGGCUAAGAUUGACGCUCAUGCACGAAAGCGUGGGGAGCAA